rnacentral:rRNA from 1 species
AUGAACUACAGGCACUACCACGACAAGGCAGGGCUAACCCACUUCUGUAAGGUGAUCCUUACUCCGAAGUUGGAGAGCCUGCGUUUGCCUCUGGACUCCACGAAGCACUUCCUUGUCGUCUCUAAGGAGUUUAGGCUCAAGACGAACACCGACUGCGUCUGGAGGGUCACAGUCCAGGUGAUCGACAGCAGGGUCACCCUUGGUCAGGGUCGGGCCCCCUUCGCCGCUGUUCACCAGAUCAGGAUUAGGUACAUGGUGCCCUUCAAGUUGUUGACUCCCGACACCCUGAAGGUGAUCGUCUUCAACGACGACGGUGUGGAGAUGGUCACCAAGUGCAAGAAGCAUGACGAUGCCUUCGUCGUGACUGCCUAG